GAUGAACGCUGGCGGCGUGCCUAAUACAUGCAAGUCGAACGAGGUGCUUUUGUAGCAAUACGAGAGUAUCCUAGUGGCGAACGGGUGAGUAACGCGUGGAUGACCUGCCCCAAAGUGUGGGAUAACAGUCCGAAAGGAUUGCUAAUACCUCAUGUGGUUAUCGGUUUUAGAAAGCGAUAACUAAAGCAGCAAUGCGCUUUGGGAGGGAUCUGCGUCCCAUCAGCUAGUUGGUGAGGUAACGGCUCACCAAGGCGACGACGGGUAGGGGACCUGAGAGGGUGGCCCCCACAAUGGAACUGAAACACGGUCCAUACACCUACGGGUGGCAGCAGUAGGGAAUAUUGCUCAAUGGGCGAAAGCCUGAAGCAGCAACGCCGCGUGUGCGAUGAAGGCCUCGGUCGUAAAGCACUUUCUAAGAGAUGAGAAAGG
rnacentral:rRNA from 1 species